UGGGGAAUAUUGCACAAUGGGCGCAAGCCUGAUGCAGCCAUGCCGCGUGUAUGAAGAAGGCCUUCGGGUUGUAAAGUACUUUCAGCGGGGAGGAAGGGAGUAAAGUUAAUACCUUUGCUCAUUGACGUUACCCGCAGAAGAAGCACCGGCUAACUCCGUGCCAGCAGCCGCGGUAAUAUUGAGGGUGCAAGCGUGAAUCGGAAUUACUGGGCGUAAAGUGCUCGCAGGCGGUUUGUUAAGUCAGAUGUGAAAUCCCCGGGCUCAACCUGGGAACUGCAUCUGAUACUGGCAAGCUUGAGUCUCGUAGAAGGAGGUAGAAUUCCAGGUGUAGCGGUGAAAUGCGUAGAGAUCUGGAGGAAUACCGGUGGCGAAGGCGGCCCCCUGGACGAAGACUGACGCUCAGGUGCGAAAGCGUGGGGAGCAAACAGG
rnacentral:rRNA from 1 species